GGCCUGGUGGUCUAGUAGUAUGAUUCCUUCUUAGGGUAGCAUCUUUGCAGCCUCGAGCUCACCAUCUGGAGGAGGUCCUGGGUUCAAUUCCCAGCCAGGCCC